CCUGGCCAAAAAGAGACAAGAGAUGCUGCGCUCAGUCACCAGGUGGCACAGCAGGGGACACCCCCUCCCCACCCCCACCUGCCAAGGACACAGCUCUGCACACGUGGGGUAAAACUAAGCGAGUUCAAACAUCACUUGGGGUCAGGUGUCCACCCGUCUCUAGGAAGCAGGUUCUGGGGUAACUGCCAGACACACUCCCCUCAGGGCUGAGCUGGGCCCCAUCUAGUAUCCCUGAACGAGCGCCAGGAGUAACGGGAGAGGGGGUGAGUGAGGCCAGCUGCCCACGACCCCCUUAUGGCACACAGGCCCCCAGCAGCGGCCCGGCAAUGUUUCCCGCUCCUGCACCUUCCCAGACCGUGAGCAGAAAGGGCUCCCGGGGGAGGGGCGGUGGGGGACAGGAAGCCAAGUGGGAGGGCCUGGGCGAGGAGGCCGGCUGUGGUGACCACCCAGAAGUCAGGGACCAAAGGCGAACUGGCCAAGUCUCCUGGGGCAUGAGCCUGGGGAUUCUGGUCAAGUCAGUAAGAGAGCGGAGGAGCCCAGCCUCCACGCCCUGACCCCAGCCCUGCACCAGGGAAGGAAUGCGUUGGACCAACCAGUGGGUAGGGCAUCCGUUAGGCUUGCCAUGGGCUGCAAAUGGGUGCUGGGUUCCCUGUGAUCUCCCAGGACUUGCCUGGACCUGCCGGUCUGUGCCCCGGGCAUGGUUAACAGUGGGUGGUGAGCAAGCCUGAGAUAAUUAAAGGACUGAGCUGCCCAGACCCGGAGGCCCACCAUCAGAGUCAAGGGGGGAUUCCCAAGCCCCCAGCUCCACUGGACUAGCCAGUGUGCAACUGAUGUGUACUGACAGACAGACAGACAGACUGGAUGAAUGAAAGAAUGAAUGACAGUCAAUGAACGGGUGCUCUGAGUUUUCCAUCCGACCUCGUAGAAUUCUGCCAAGAAAACCAGAGUCUGAAAAAAGUGCUGGGACUUUACUUACCGUGAGAAAAAUGUCCUCUCCAAGAGGACAGGCCCCUCGGGGUGGAUGUGAGACAGCAAGGGGUCUGGGGGCCUGGAGAGAGGAGCUGACCGUGACUCGCCCCACCCCCCGGCCAGCAGCUCCCGAUGCAGAGCCCAGACACCGGUGUCCACGCAGACACCUCUCACACGGGGCUCGGAGGGGCAGGAAGCUGGAGCGGAGCGAGCACUUCCGAAGAGCCAGGAGCAGAACCCCCAGGAAGGUGCCGUGGAACGGCGCGGUCCAGAGGAGCGGCGAGAAGGACUUCGUGCCCUGGAAGGGGAGGAGGAGGUAAGGGUGGGAGGGCCCCACCUCAGGCACGACCCGGCCCUUACCCAAGGACAGCCCGUUCCUCUUCUGCAGGACGUCCCUGUAGAAGUUCUGCUGCGCGUGGUCCAGCCGCCCCCACUCCUCCCGGGAGAGGUACAGGGCCACGUCCUCGAAGGUCACUGGCAUCUGCAACAACACAAAACGCCCACUCUCCAGGACACGCCAGGACCCCCCGGAGGGGCACCAUGGCUCCAAGAGGAAGGCGACCCGGCUCCCGACCCACUGCCCCGAGUGAGCCCCGCUCUCGUGUCUGCUGGUGAAGCAGGACGGCCGCCCGAGGGUGGCUUCGCGGGGGCAAGAACGAGGCGGCUGUGUACAACCCGGGAGACAGAAACAAGCGUCCCUUUCGGGCGCCGCAGCCGAAGCUCGGGGUCUCCACGCACACUCCCCUGCAGCCCCCACCCUCCGCUGGCGCUCGCAUCCAGGGGACGAUGUGGUUCCUCCACAUCCCUCUGCUGUUCCUCCAGCCCUGGACUUGGACGGGGACACUCACCUGGGACCAGGCGGUGAGGAGCGCCGCAGCCAUCUGCCGGUCUCUGGUCCUCCCCUCACGAGAGAGCACAGGGAUCUGGGGGGAGGGGAGGGCUGAGAGAGGACAGAGGUGCUCAGGGCGGCCGCCUCGCCCCGCCUACCAGGGACACCCCCCGCUGCCUCAAACUGCACCCCGACCUGACCCAGGAAGAGGGUCAGUAGCCUCUGUGCAGUCAGAGGCUCCCAGGCUGUGCGGGAGAGGCGUGUCGGGGGCAGGUGCGCACACGUGCAGGCCUCUCCGUGGCAGGAGAGCUCGUGCCCUCCCCGCCUCUGCACCAGACUCCACCUCUCCCCACAGCUGCCACCGAGAAGGGGCCCCUCUCCGCGCCCCUCUCCAUCCCUUUCCUCACCUCCUCCGGGCAGGAAAAGAGCUUUGUCCUUAGAGCCCUGGCUUAGGGACACCCAGCCCUGCUCUCCUCGGGCCCCGGCCCCCUGCGAUGCCCCCUCAGGCUGUGGCUCUUCCGGCUCCGUCUUGAUGUGGGGAGACUCCUGAGCAGCUCCCAAAGGCACCGUCUCCUCUGACUCAGAAAGCAUUUCUUGACGAGGAUGCCCAUGACCUGGAACCUAGGAAUGACAGCCCCCAUCAGCACCUGGGCAGACAAUGGGAGACGCGGCCGAGCCCCACACCCGAGGGGCCUGGCAGCGGCCGACACCCAGGUGGCCAAACACACCCGAAUGCAACUCACUGCUGGCCUUGCUUCCUUGUCCCGGCCCUGGGGCCGCGCACGUGCCUGGUUCGCCCCCACAAGGCCGGGACAGCACGGGAAGGAAGGGAGGCUCGAGGCCGGGCCAGGGGCGGGCUGGCCAGGUGCCCACAGAGCAGGUGUCUCCUCCCCGUUCCAGCCUCGUACCUCCCACAGCAGUGUGGACGGUUCCUCUUUCAUGUUAGAGGACACCAAGUGCGGUGGGCUGAAUGGUGUCCCCCAAAUUUCACGUCUGCCUGGAACCUCACAAUGUGACCUUAUUUGGAAAAAAAAAGGUCUCUGCUGAUGUAAUCAGUAAAGGAUCUUGAGAUGAAAUCAUUCUGCAUUUAGACUGGGCCCUAGAUCCAACGACCAGUGUCCUUAGAACGAAUUCUAGUUGUUUUAUGCCAUCCAGACAUAGGAAACGAACACACCCAGGCUCAGAGAUCGACCAUGGCCCAAGAUUGCAGAGCCUGUGAAUUCUCAGCCAGCACUUGAACUCCGAGUGUAUCUGAUUCACAAGUCAGCCCCAGGGCCACCAUUUCCUGAAUAUGACAGGGAGGUAUCAUGUGGCCCUGGGCCAUUUCCAGCCUGACUCAAUUCGGUCACGGAAGCUGGAGUUUUUUUAGUUUGGAGAAACAAGUCCAAGGGUACCUCUAACUGUGCCGAGGCCUGUGCCCACCUUCGUCUGACAGAAGGAGACCUCCUCCCGGCUCACCCCUGCAGCACCACCCACCGCAACUCGUCCAGGGUUCUCCAGGGUCCUCCUAAUUUGUCCCUUCUUCACAUCAACCUCGGGUGGGAAGGUCAGGCAACCGGGGCUUGAUCCAGACCAGCCCCUCGCUCGCCGCUCAACCCUGAGUGGGCACCGCCUUCCCACAAACCUCAAGAGCUUUGGGAAAGUCACUUCCUUUGCAUUGGGAGGCUCCUGGUGAGGCCUCAUCAUCACCCACAGCACAGGGACUGGCCAGGCUUCUGCUGAGAACUCAGACUUCUCUCUCCACACCGCCCCCACGUCUGUGUAUAUCAGAGCCCCAAAGGGAAGACCCUCAGGCCAGGAGUUGAAGGGCCUGGGAGCCACACGAGCCAGGCAGCCUCCAAAACUCAGCUACUCUGCCUCACGCACAGAUUCCCUGUGAGAAAGAGCUGCCUACUCUGGAACAUUCUGGAUAAACACAGAGCGGUGCCAGAAAUAAUUACUAUAACUGUACUGUGCGAGUUGACAGAAUCCAGCAGGAGAGAAUGUCAGGGGCGUGCGAGGCCCAGUGGGUGUUACAAAGGCAUCGUGGAAGCGAAAGCACACAGUGUUGACACAUCUUUGUACCUUCUGUACGAAAGUGCGAGACGUAACGCAGAUGGUCCCUGACUCUCAACGGCUCAGCUUAACGAACUUUCGACUUUAUGAUGGUACAGAAACGGCACACAUUGGGUAGAAACCACACUUCGAAGUCUGAAAAUGCCCCUUUCCCUGGGCUAAGCGAUGUGUACCACGGUCCUGGCUCAGGACGCCAGGCGGCCGGAGACAUGGCUUCCGGUCAGCCGCGUGGUCACGAGCGUAAAUGACCACAAACCGGUGGCCAUUCUGUCUUCCUCCUUCAGCACGGUGUUCAGUACAUCACGUGAGAUACUCAGCCCUAAAUUACGAGAUCGGCUUUGGGUUAGGUGGUUUUACCCAAUGUAGGCUGCUCUGAGUGUUCUGAGCACGUUUAAGGUAGGUGAGAUUAGGCUCUGAUGCUCAGUAGAGCAUGUAUUAAAUGCGUUUUCCACUUAAUAAUAUUUUCAGCUUACAGCGGGUUUAUCAGGAUGUAAGCCCAUGGUGAGCUGAGGGAGAUCUGCUCUUGAUUUGUGCUUGUCCUUACACCUGCUCGUUGAGGCGAUCUGUUUCUCUGAUCUAGGUUCUGGUUGCUGUGGGUGUUGUUAUUGCAUAUGUUACAAUAACGAUCUGGAUGAGACAGGUGGCAACAGCAGGCAGGCACAGGGUAUACAUUUUAUGGACGACACACCUGGUUCCCAGGAGCCAGGGGACUUGCCCAAGGUCACACACCUGGCUGCAGCUGACUCAUAUUCCUUUGAUUCCAAGCUCAGGGGCCCAGGUCCUCCCGCAGGGUGUAAUUACACACAUGGGCAACAGGUACAGGAAGGAGACAAGGUGCUCAGACCCAGGGAGAGAGGAGAUGGGGUGCUAGGCAGGAAGGAGCGGAGAGUAAACCGGGGCUCCCCCACGUGCGCUGGGCACAACCUCACCAGUAGGACCCCCACGCAGGCUCCCCGCUAUUUCAUGUAGCCUUUGGCCGACAGACUCCUGAACUCAGCAGGCAGAGGCGAGCAGCUCUCUGGCUGUCAAUUCCCAGUGGAAGAACUUUCUCGUCAUAGCACCAACUCCUCCCAUCACCCCCAUCCGCCCCAGUGAGUCUAAGUCUUCCACUGGCGUAGACACCCUACCUUGAAAACCCCCUCCCGCUCCAAUCCCUUCCAGGGCAUGCAUCCCUCGCCCAGCGCCCCGCCCAUACCUCUCGGGCUCUCUCCUUGUCCUGGGUAGCCUGGGCGGCUCUGCCGUCUGCAGACAUUUCUAUCUCAGAGGUAGAAAGCACAGCUCCGUCGUUUCUCCCUUCUUAUUGGCCAAGCCCCCUCCAGCUUCUGGCCAGGAGCCUACCAGAGCAGAAACGUAAGUCAGCCAUCGUCUCCUGGACACCUCCAAAGCACCCUGGAAGUCCCCACGCAAGCCCAGACCCACGCUUGGUCCCAAUCAGAAAUAAAGCCUCCCCAGAUGCCCUCCGGUGACCUCA